rnacentral:rRNA from 1 species
GCGGCGGACGGGUGAGUAAUACUUAGGAAUCUACCUAGUAGUGGGGGAUAGCUCGGGGAAACUCGAAUUAAUACCGCAUACGACCUACGGGAGAAAGGGGGCAACUUGUUGCUCUCGCUAUUAGAUGAGCCUAAGUCGGAUUAGCUAGAUGGUGGGGUAAAGGCCUACCAUGGCGACGAUCUGUAGCUGGUCUGAGAGGAUGAUCAGCCACACCGGGACUGAGACACGGCCCGGACUCCUACGGGAGGCAGCAGUGGGGAAUAUUGGACAAUGGGGGCAACCCUGAUCCAGCCAUGCCGCGUGUGUGAAGAAGGCCUUUUGGUUGUAAAGCACUUUAAGCAGUGAAGAAGACUCCAUGGUUAAUACCCAUGGACGAUGACAUUAGCUGCAGAAUAAGCACCGGCUAACUCUGUGCCAGCAGCCGCGGUAAUACAGAGGGUGCAAGCGUUAAUCGGAAUUACUGGGCGUAAAGCGAGCGUAGGUGGCUUGAUAAGUCAGAUGUGAAAGCCCCGGGCUUAACCUGGGAACGGCAUCUGAUACUGUUAGGCUAGAGUAGGUGAGAGGAAGGUAGAAUUCCAGGUGUAGCGGUGAAAUGCGUA